GAUGAAGAACGUAGCGAAAUGCGAUACGUAAUGUGAAUUGCAGAUUUCAGUGAAUCAUCGAAUCUUUGAACGCACAUUGCGCCCCUUGGUAUUCCGAGGGGCAUGCCUGUUCGAGCGUCAUUAUAACCCCUCAAGCUCAGCUUGGUGUUGGGGCCUGCUGCACUGGCAGCCCUUAAAAUCAGUGGCGGCGCCAUCUGGCUCUAAGCGUAGUAAUUCUUCUCGCUAUGGAGUCCUGGUGGAUGCUUGCCAUCAACCCCCAAUUUUUCUAUGGUUGACCUCGGAUCAGGUAGGGAUACCCGCUGAACUUAAGCAUAUCAAUAAGCGGAGGA
rnacentral:misc_RNA from 1 species